GCUUACGGCCACACCGCCUGGUUCACGCCUGAUCUCGUUUGAUCUCGGAAGCUAAGAUAGGUUGGGCCUGGUUAGUACUUGGAUGGGAGACCGCCUAGGCAUACCAGGUGCUGUAAGGC
rnacentral:rRNA from 1 species